AGUGGGAUAACUGGGUCAAAUGGUAGUUCCAUUCCUAGUUUUUGAGUAAUGUCCAUACUGCUUUCCAGAAUGAUUGCACCAAUUUGUAGUCCCAUCACCAAU
rnacentral:pre_miRNA from 1 species